AAGCCAAUAGUCUCAGGUCACAAUUCUCUAUUCCUCUACACUGCUCUUUCAGGCACUUGCCCGAUCUUUGAAUCCCUAGCAAGUACCAACACGCUCCCGCUGCCUGCUCCCGCACCCCAAAAAAAAGGAAAACAAACAAGUAAA